rnacentral:sRNA from 21 species
UUCAGCAACCCCACGCUACUAACGUGGAGCGUGGGGAUUGCCAGAGACAAGUCUGGUGACGCAAGAGUUGAAUAGACCACUAGCCAUCAACUGAUACACACUUCCGAAUGCUUCCCCAGUUCGGAUCAACUGUA